AACGUAGGAGACAAACGUUAUCCGGAGUUACUGGGCGUAAAGGGCGUGUAGGUGGUUUCGUAAGUCUGGCGUGAAAUUUCUCGGCUUAACCGAGGCAGGUCGUCGGAUACUGCGGAACUUGAGGACGGUAGAGGCGUGUGGAAUUCCUGGUGUAGCGGUGAAAUGCGCAGAUAUCAGGAGGAACACCAAUGGCGAAGGCAGCUCGCUGGGACGUGACUGACGCUGAGACGCGAAAGCGUGGGGAGCAAACAGG
rnacentral:rRNA from 1 species